rnacentral:rRNA from 1 species
GAAUGCUGACAUAAGUAACGAUAAAGCGGGUGAAAAGCCCGCUCGCCGGAAGACCAAGGGUUCCUGUCCAACGUUAAUCGGGGCAGGGUGAGUCGACCCCUAAGGCGAGGCCGAAAGGCGUAGUCGAUGGGAAACGGGUUAAUAUUCCCGUACUUGGUGUUACUGCGAAGGGGGGACGGAGAAGGCUAUGUUGGCCGGGCGACGGUUGUCCCGGUUUAAGCGUGUAGGUGUGUGUUCCAGGUAAAUCCGGUUCACUUUAACACUGAGGCGUGACGACGAGGCACUACGGUGCUGAAGCAACAAAUGCCCUGCUUCCAGGAAAAGCCUCUAAGCAUCAGGUAACAUCAAAUCGUACCCCAAACCGACACAGGUGGUCAGGUAGAGAAUACCAAGGCGCUUGAGAGAACUCGGGUGAAGGAACUAGGCAAAAUGGUGCCGUAACUUCGGGAGAAGGCACGCUGACACGUAGGUGAAGUGAUUUACUCAUGGAGCUGAAGUCAGUCGAAGAUACCAGCUGGCUGCAACUGUUUAUUAAAAACACAGCACUGUGCAAACACGAAAGUGGACGUAUACGGUGUGACGCCUGCCCGGUGCCGGAAGGUUAAUUGAUGGGGUCAGCGCAAGCGAAGCUCCUGAUCGAAGCCCCGGUAAACGGCGGCCGUAACUAUAACGGUCCUAAGGUAGCGAAAUUCCUUGUCGGGUAAGUUCCGACCUGCACGAAUGGCGUAAUGAUGGCCAGGCUGUCUCCACCCGAGACUCAGUGAAAUUGAACUCGCUGUGAAGAUGCAGUGUACCCGCGGCAAGACGGAAAGACCCCGUGAACCUUUACUAUAGCUUGACACUGAACAUUGAGCCUUGAUGUGUAGGAUAGGUGGGAGGCUUUGAAGUGUGGACGCCAGUCUGCAUGGAGCCGACCUUGAAAUACCACCCUUUAAUGUUUGAUGUUCUAACGUGGACCCGUAAUCCGGGUUGCGGACAGUGUCUGGUGGGUAGUUUGACUGGGGCGGUCUCCUCCUAAAGAGUAACGGAGGAGCACGAAGGUUGGCUAAUCCUGGUCGGACAUCAGGAGGUUAGUGCAAUGGCAUAAGCCAGCUUGACUGCGAGCGUGACGGCGCGAGCAGGUGCGAAAGCAGGUCAUAGUGAUCCGGUGGUUCUGAAUGGAAGGGCCAUCGCUCAACGGAUAAAAGGUACUCCGGGGAUAACAGGCUGAUACCGCCCAAGAGUUCAUAUCGACGGCGGUGUUUGGCACCUCGAUGUCGGCUCAUCACAUCCUGGGGCUGAAGUAGGUCCCAAGGGUAUGGCUGUUCGCCAUUUAAAGUGGUACGCGAGCUGGGUUUAGAACGUCGUGAGACAGUUCGGUCCCUAUCUGCCGUGGGCGCUGGAGAACUGAGGGGGGCUGCUCCUAGUACGAGAGGACCGGAGUGGACGCAUCACUGGUGUUCGGGUUGUCAUGCCAAUGGCACUGCCCGGUAGCUAAAUGCGGAAGAGAUAAGUGCUGAAAGCAUCUAAGCACGAAACUUGCCCCGAGAUGAGUUCUC